UACCAGCUCUCCGAGUAGUGUGGAUGUUUAUUGGGCCUAAAGCAUCCGUAGCUUGCUAUACAAGUCCCCUGUUAAAUCCACCGAUUUAAUCGUUGGAUUGCGGGGGAUACUGUUUGGCUAGGGGACGGGAGAGGCCGACGGUAUUUCCGGGGUAGGGGUGAAAUCCUAUAAUCCCGGGAAGACCACCAGUGGUGAAGGCUAUCGGCUAGAACGCGCCCGACGGUGAGGGAUGAAAGCUGGGGGAGCGAACCGGAUUAGAUACCCGGGUAGUCCCAGCUGUAAACGAUGCAGGCUAGGUGUUUGGGCGGCCACGAGCCGCUCUAGUGCCGCAGGGAAGCUGUUAAGCCUGCCGCCUGGGGAGUACGGCCGCAAGGCUGAAACUUAAAGGAAUUGGCGGGGGAGCACCACAAGGGGUGAAGCUUGCGGUUU
rnacentral:rRNA from 1 species